AUUGAACGCUGGCGGCAUGCCUUACACAUGCAAGUCGAACGGUAACGGGUCUUCGGAUGCUGACGAGUGGCGAACGGGUGAGUAAUACAUCGGAACGUGCCUAGUAGUGGGGGAUAACUACUCGAAAGAGUGGCUAAUACCGCAUGAGAUCUACGGAUGAAAGCAGGGGAUCGAAAGACCUUGUGCUACUAGAGCGGCCGAUGGCAGAUUAGGUAGUUGGUGGGAGAAAAGCUUACCAAGCCGACGAUCUGUAGCUGGUCUGAGAGGACGAUCAGCCACACUGGGACUGAGACACGGCCCAGACUCCUACGGGAGGCAGCAGUGGGGAAUUUUGGACAAUGGGCGAAAGCCUGAUCCAGCAAUGCCGCGUGCAGGAUGAAGGCCUUCGGGUUGUAAACUGCUUUUGUACGGAACGAAAAGCCCUGGGUUAAUACCCUGGGGUCAUGACGGUACCGUAAGAAUAAGCACCGGCUAACUACGUGCCAGCAGCCGCUGUAAAAC
rnacentral:rRNA from 1 species